rfam:Miscellaneous Crenarchaeota group-6 archaeon AD8-1 WOR_8-12_1288, whole genome shotgun sequence.
GCGAAUUGGUGCGUGGCUUUCGAGCUUCUAACUAAAUAGAAGUUUUGAGGAAACUCCACCCACAAGUAGAAUUGUAGCCUUUAAAGGCAAGGUGAGAACCUUGGCAACGGAGCAGAAACGAAACGUCCACUGGCAUAUAGUAAUGAUGCAUACUAAAUUGUUGAGCUUGCUAUGUGUGAAUCGAUGAAACGGCCGUCCUGCAAGUGGAAAGGGCAAACGAUCGCUAAUGACAUUCUACAGGAAGGCGAAGGUAGCCCGCUUAGUUAAAUGCCACAUAAACAGAAGGUGGGUUAUGCCAAGACAC